rnacentral:pre_miRNA from 1 species
GAUAUACUCCCUCCGUCCCAAAAUUUCUUGUCUUAGAUUUGUCUAAAUACGGAUGUAUCAAGUCACAUUUUAGUAUUAGAUACAUUCGUAUCUAGAAAAAUGUAAGACAAGAAUUUUGGGACGGAGAGAGUAUUAA